rnacentral:rRNA from 1 species
AUUGAACGCUGGCGGCAUGCUUUACACAUGCAAGUCGAACGGCAGCACGGGCUUCGGCCUGGUGGCGAGUGGCGAACGGGUGAGUAAUAUAUCGGAACGUACCCAGAAGUGGGGGAUAACGUAGCGAAAGUUACGCUAAUACCGCAUACGAUCUAUGGAUGAAAGCAGGGGACCGCAAGGCCUUGUGCUCCUGGAGCGGCCGAUAUCUGAUUAGCUAGUUGGUGAGGUAAAGGCUCACCAAGGCGACGAUCAGUAGCUGGUCUGAGAGGACGACCAGCCACACUGGAACUGAGACACGGUCCAGACUCCUACGGGAGGCAGCAGUGGGGAAUUUUGGACAAUGGGCGCAAGCCUGAUCCAGCAAUGCCGCGUGAGUGAAGAAGGCCUUCGGGUUGUAAGGCUCUUUUGUCAGGGAAGAAACGGUAGAGGCUAAUAUCCUUUGCUAAUGACGGUACCUGAAGAAUAAGCACCGGCUAACUACGUG